CCAUGAGGUACUGUCCUUCCAGUAUGUUUUGGCCACAUUUUUUUUACAACAGAAUCUCUCUUCAAAGGUAUUAGGAACAUAUCAGAUACAUACAUUUUACACAUUUCAAGACCAUUCUCUUACAGCUUGCCCUCAAAGACCUCCAUCCUCAAUAGUAAAAGACUCCAGACUUCCAAGAUUGGUAAUCAUAAACAAAUCAAGAGUGCUUAAGGCAUUUUGAAUGAGGCUAGACAUGUAAUGGAAGCCUCAUUUUUUCCUCUCACAUAUGCCAGGCUUACUCUGUGGCUAGCAGAAAAUUAGUAACUAGGACUAUGUUUCAUUUUCCCAUUUGUAGAACCCCCCAAACCAUCCAGGUACUUUCUCAGAGACUCCAGCAGUUGUGACCAGUGUUUUAAUCUCUGCAGAGGUGGUAUAUAGGAACUAUUGAGUCGGCCUGAACCACUGAUUGAGCACCUGGGGAAAGGACUGGGUCAGCCGUGGGAGCACAGGUGGAGGCAAUUCAGCUGCAUGACCAGAAGGGUUGGAGCCUGGCUGCACCUCUCUUAGACCUCAUUUAAGGGUUAACUGCCACUGGGGAAGGCCCUCUGGUUAGAGAUCCCUCCUUUGUGGGGUCAUUUCUGUGAGCCUAGGCCUUUGGAGAUGGGUGAGCACUUUUACUUUUCCUGUGAAAUACCAUCCUAUCUGUGCUGGUCCCUUUGCUGUUACGUUCCUGUAUUGCCCUUCCAACAUGUUAAUCUUUCUAAUUGUAACAGGUGGCAAGACAAACAUUUCACCUGAUGGAAAUCCUCAGAAGCUGGUUAGCACUAACAGAGAAGGAUUUGAGACAGCAUCAGAUACUGAAUUAUACUGGUGGUGUUACUUGCCAAUAAAGACAGUACAAGUCUGGAAUGAAGAUAAAACCAAGGCUACCUACAAUUGUGCCCUGCAUGGCUGGGUGACAACAUCAAGAGUAUUAAUAUCUGCUCAGUCCUCUGCUCUGGUCUCCGGAAAAGGAAAGAGAAAUGGUCACUCUCAGCCUGCAUUUUUUUAA
rnacentral:lncRNA from 1 species